GGAGGGUGCAAGCGUUGUCCGGAGUUUAUUGGGGUUUAAAGGGGUGCGUAGGCGGAUUAUUAAGUCAGUGGGUGAAAGUUUGCGGCUCAACCGUAAAAGUGCCAUUGAUACUGGUAGUCUUGAGUACAGUAGAGGUAGGCGGAAUUUAUGGUGUAGCGGUGAAAUGCAUAGAUACCAUAAAGAACACCGAUAGCGAAGGCAGCUUACUAUACUGAGACUGACGCUGAGGCACGAAAGCGUGGGGAGCGAACAGGAUUAGAUACCCUGGUAGUCCACGCUGUAAACGAUGAAGACUCGCUGUUGGCGAUACACAGCCAGUGGCCAAGCGAAAGCGUUAAGUCUUCCACCUGGGGAGUACGAUCGCAAGAUUG
rnacentral:rRNA from 1 species